rnacentral:rRNA from 1 species
GACGAACGCUGGCGGCGUGCUUAACACAUGCAAGUCGAACGGAAAGGCCCUGCUUUUGUGGGGUGCUCGAGUGGCGAACGGGGGAGUAACACGUGAGUAACCUGCCCUUGACUUUGGGGUAACUUCAGGAAACUGGGGCUAAUACAGGAUAGGAGCUCUUGCUGCAUGUGGGGGGUUGGAAAGUUUCGGCGGUUGGGGAUGGACUCGCGGCUUAUGAGCUUGUUGGUGGGGUAGUGGCUGACCAAGGCUUUGACGGGUAGCCGGCCUGAGAGGGUGACCGGCCACAUUGGGACUGCGAUACGGCGCAGACUCCUACGUGACGCAGCAGUGGGGAAUAUUGCACAAUGGGCGGAAGCCAGAUGCAGCAACGCCGCGUGCGGGAUGACGGCCUUCGGGUUGUAAACCGCUUUCGCCUUUGACGAAGCGUUAGUGACGGUAAUGGGUAAAGAAGCACCGGCUAACUACGUG